AGUCGAACGAAGUAGCAAUACUUAGUGGCAGACGGGUGAGUAACAUGUGGGUAUCUGCCCUUUGGCCUGGAAUAACACGAGGAAACUUGUGCUAAUACCGGAUAAGUCUUUACGGAGAAAGUUUUAAUGCCAAAAGAUGAGCCCGCAUUUGAUUAGCUAGUUGGUGAGGUAAAAGCUCACCAAGACAAUGAUCAAUAGCUGAUCUGAGAGGAUGAUCAGCCACACUGGGACUGAGACACGGCCCAGACUCC
rnacentral:rRNA from 1 species